CGGAAGACCCCGCACCGAACAGCCCAAAAACAGAACAGAAAGUUACAGGCCGUGAGCCUCACUCUGUCACUCCCCAUGAACCCCGCCGCCUCCCUCUCUCCCACGCCGGCGCCGCCCUUGCCUCGCGCCGGCAGCUGCCAAACCCUGCACGGCGGCCUCCUCCCUCCCCUGCACGUUAACUUCCUCUUCGCGCGACGACCUCCUCCCAACCCCACGCUCCGGCCGCCUUCCUCCCCGUGCUUCGGCCUCCUUCCUUCCCCGCCUCCGGUAGCCUUCCUCCCCGCGCUCCGGCCGCCUUCCUCGCCGCGCUCCGGCCUCCUCCCUCCCCCGACUCCGGUCACCUUCUCCUCCCCGCGCUCCGGCCGCCUUCCUCCCUGAGAUUCGCCCACCUUCCACCCCCGAGAUCCCAGCGCCGGCGCCCAACCCCUCCGUCUGUGAGCUAGGGGACUGGGACGCCCUCCUCGCCGCGGCGUCAUUGCUGGCCGUCAGCGGCGGAAGCGGGGUGGCGGCCGGGACCUUGUCGUGCUCAUCUCCGACUACUGUAAAGGUAUGCAUGCACAUUUGUACUUCAGUCAACAAAAGACAGCAGGGAUUGGUAUUAUGAUUUGUGUGCUGAUUGGUCCUGUGUGUUACUUUAAUGUUGGACUGAGGAAUCUGACAUUAAAAUGAAUCAUCUACAAGCUGGAACAUGGAGCUUGCAGAUUAUCUUUGUUGUACUAUGAACUUAGGCUCGUCUCUCUCUUGUACUUCAGUUAUUCUUCAAUUUUCAGUAUUGGUGUAGUCUGUAUGGUGAAGCAUCGUGUACUUGUAACACUAAUCAGUUCAGAUCUCGAGAGAGGUAAGCUCAGAGAAAAAAAUACAGAAGUUCAAAGUUGAUAAAAGAGGAUGUUAUUUCUUUGUACUCGUAAUUUGUUAUUUCUUUGCAACCAGAUGCGACAGACAGAGGCAAGAUGCAAAGUGUGCUAUUUGUUAGAUGUUCAGUACAGAUUUUUCUCUAAGAAAAAAGCAGCAAGAGGCAGCAGUUUUGAAUGUGCUAGUUGUAAGUCACUUAGUUAUUAGAUGGUCAUUUCAGAUUUUUGUAGAUGCAACAACUAGUUUGUUUUCUUGUGCUAGUUGAACUAGUCUUGGUUCAGAUAUUUCUCUCAGAAAAAAGUAGCAAGAGGCGGCAGUAUUGAAUGAUCUUUGUUAGAUGUUCUGUAAAUAUUAUGGAAUUUUCUGUGGGACACACCUGUACUGAAGUUGUUACCAACUAAAAGAAACUUCAACUUGUUUGAACAUAUACUGGUUAGGUUAAUUAUCAUUACUAUAGCUCUCUGCUAUCCCAUUUGCAUACCCUAUAAUCAAUGAAUGAUGUGCGCAUACUUCUGAAUUGUCUUGCCACUGUGGCCGAGUUAGCUUCAACCUGUGUAGUUUAGUCACCAUAUGUGUGAUGCGUCCGCAGUUAGUUGACCACAACUCGUACAAUUAAAUGCCACCUCUGGUUUCAGGUUUCUUCGUUGUUGUAAGGCUUUUGAAAUAUCUUACCAUUGAGGUUGUGGUGCCUUUUUCUUUCAGUAAAAAUUCAGGUUGGGAAGCUUAUUUUUUCCAAAGUGAUUGUUUGGGUACUACAAGCUCGCACAGAGUGGAAGCAGUUGUUACAACAGGUUUGAAGUAGAUAUUACAAAAGGUUUGAUUUUUCUAGACCAUAUACAAAAACUGUAGCAGUUCUAGUACUUAUGCAGUCGUCUGCCUGUUCUUAACUUUGUUUGAUUUGUUUAGUGAAAUAUAUAAAAGCCAGUAGCAGUACUAUUACUUAUUUUACAACAGGUCAUUGACUAAAACUAUAUCAGUUUAGCAAUGUACUUACAAAAACAAAUCAACAGGUUUGUAGGUUUUUUUCAGCUCAUCUUGUUGGCUUUUUCAGUUCAUAUUGCAGGCUUGUAGGAUUAGAUUCUCAUGUGUGUUUUAGUAUUAGGGAGAAGUAAAACCAUUCAUUUCUUGUAUAUUUAUUAUUACUGUAGUACUAGCUACUCCGUUCUAGUAGUAUAUGGAGUAUGUGAUCAGCUCAUGCAGUAUAUACUAUGCACAAAAUGUCUGUACAGUGCUUUACAUACAAAAAACUUGCUUUCUCUAGACCAUGCAAGCUUCCUCAAAGGAGCUCGUGUCGAACGAGUGCUUUACAUACAAAUGAGUGCAAUGAUGGGCCAUUAGAUUAAUAUCCAGGCACACGCGACAUCUCUGGUCGCGUGGCCGGCGCCAUUAUCUUAAAUUUUUGUUUCUGCACUAAGUUUAAUAAUGUAUUUUGUUCACAAAAUUUUAGUGAAAAGUUAACUUCAUGUUACUCGUGAUCUCGCAACUGUAUGUUCACCUGUGAAGGUAUCUCUCAUUGCUUAUUGUUACAUUAAUUUCCAUGCUAAGAAAGGUUUACAUUAAAAGUAACAUCCAUAUAGGAAAAAUGCUUCUAUUCUUACACAUUUUUUUGGAAAAAAGAGCCCUAGUACUGAUGAGUCGUACUGACAAGGAUGCCGUCUACAAUUCAGAUGAGUCGUACUGACAAGGACAUAAUUAUUGUGCAAAUGGAAAAAACAAAUGUUUUAUAAAGAAAUGUGCUUGAAGCUCAAUUACUAUGGUCUAAAAUUCAAUUACAUCGCUAGUACAUUCAGAAUUGCUAAUUCAAAAAAAUGAAGUUCCUGUUUCAGGAUUAUGUAAGUUCAAAAUUAUUGUAUGAUGUGUGUGCCAUAGUUAUCUGAACUUCAAUCCUGACUAAUAUUCCAUUAUAGUACUACUGCAUAUUCACUUCUGAUUGCUUCUUGCUACCACUAUUUUUAUCAUGAUUUUGUGUGUCCACCCAGGAGUGUUUUUGUUUCGGUAGGUCAGCUGCUCAACAACAGAAGCAUGUACUGCCCAAUACAUGUAUUACUACUGCGAAGGUUCAAUAUUCAGAACUCAACAAGUUCAACAUUGAUGGUACUGUGCACAUGCGCUAAGCCGUUCUAUAACAUAGCGCUAAGCCGUCCUACGCCGCAGCUCGGGAGGUGAAGGAGCUCCCAUUGGGUUCAUCUUGCAGGUUUCGUUCAAACUUGGCCACCUAGGCCGUUCAACAACACCACCAGAGCCUGUUCAGUUGCUGGCGUUCCUGCAGCUGCAGAUGUGGUGCUGACAGUACUAGGCGUUGGUUGUAUUUGAUCAAAUGCCUAGGAGCUCCCAUGAUUUAGCAAGCACUGUUGCUCAAUUUUCUAGGUUUAGUUCAGUCCAAUUUUUAGAUAGCAUAGUGCAUGCUCAAAAAUAUCAUCGGUUCAUGUUUCAAAUUUAGAUAUAUCACCUAAAAUAAGUUUCAAAAGAAAAAUUAUGUAAGUUCAAUCUGUGUGCUGCUUCAAUUUUGCAAUUCUUGUCGAGUCGUACUAGUACUGAUGAAUAACGAGUUACUGAUAUAACUAUUACCGAUUGAAAAAUGUAGGGGUUGAAGUAAACCCUCUCAAUAUAACUAUUACUGAUAUAUGUGCUCUGCCUGCACAUUUUUUCAUACGUUCUAAAAUUCGUAGAGCUUCAGUCCAACUAUGUUGCUUCUGAGACUUGAAGCGCACUUUCAACUUCAAGCGGACUCCGCAGUCGUCAGUGACGAUGAGACGGUUGCUUGCGUUUGUAGGAGUACUAUGUAGUUGCAGAUUAGCUAUUACUCAGCCAUCAUGGUUUGUAGGAGUACUACCUAGUUGCAGAUUGUAUUAGGUGUUUCUCUUACUAUUUUGCUGCUGAUUCUUGGACACAGUAUACUUUCUCGUAUGUUUCAUCAAAUAGAGCACGUCAAAUCUAAGUCAAUACUCAAUAAUAUCAAUUUUGUGAUGCAUCUUCUUUCCAUUGAGGAACUGUACUCCAAUUUCCAGGUGCAGCGUGACAUGAGCUUUCUGACCCCAUUUCCAGGUGCAGCGCCAGGGAUCUGACUGUGGGGUGCGUGAAGGCACUAGCGACUCUGCUUCCAUUUCUCUUCAGAAGUUCUGCUAACCAUUUAGUCACUGAUAAGAUGACUUUGCUUCCAACUAGCCACUGAAAGUUGUGGCCAUUUAAUGUCACCUUCUACAUUUGAGAUAGGUCAAACUGUAAUCUUCCAAUGUUAUCGUUUGGUAGCUUAAGAUGCUUUAUGUUUUGUUGAUCUACAGAGUGGCUAUCUGAGAGUUAUGUUGAACUUUCUUAUUACAGUUUGAAACUUCUUUAAAAA